rnacentral:rRNA from 1 species
AUGAUCGGAUAUGUGCAAGCUUUGGAUCGUUUGGGCUUCCCGCUCUUGGAUGAGCUGGCUACUGAUGUUGUUCUGGGUUCUCUUCCGCCCAGCUAUGGGACGUUCAUCUCGAACUAUCAUAUGCAUGGCAUGGAUAAGAAGCUCACUAAAUUGCAUGGGAUGCUCAAAGUGGCAGAGCAGGAUAUUAAGAAAGGCAUGCAUCAAGUGUUGAUGGUGCAGAAAUCGGCUAAGUUCAAGAAGAGUUGGUCCAAGAAAAAGGCUAAGGCAAAGGGCACGGAGACGGUAACCUCCGCCGAUGUGCCAAAGUCUGGACCGGACUCGAAGACCGUUUGUUUUCACUGCAAGGAAACUGGUCACUGGAAGAGGAACUGUAGCAAGUGGCUUGCAGAGCAUGGCAAGAAGGUCAGGAAUGCUGCUUCGGGCAAAGGUACACUUGUUGCAUAUGUUAUAAAUAUUUACCUUGCUGACAUACCUAGUAGCUCUUGGGUAUUUGAUACCGGAUCGGUUGUUCAUAUUUGCAACUCGAUGCAGGGGCUGGUAAGAACUAGGCGUGUGGCACAAGGGGAUAUUGACAUCAGGGUCGGCAACAAAGCAAGGGUUGUUGCGUUGGAGGUCGGCAUGAUGCAGCUCCAGCUUCCUUCCGGAUUCAUCAUGGAAUUGAAUAAUUGUUAUUACAUUCCUGCACUUAGUCGGAACAUUAUUUCUGCCUCAUGUUUGAUGAGUCAAGGUUAUGCAUUCAAUUUAAAGGACAAUGGUUGUUUGAUAUUUUUGAAUGGUAUGUUCCACGGCUAUGCACCCAUUGUUGAUGGGCUAUUUAUAUUGAAUCUAGAAUAG